rnacentral:rRNA from 1 species
UACGUAGGGGGCUAGCGUUGUCCGGAAUCAUUGGGCGUAAAGCGCGUGUAGGCGGCUCGGUAAGUCCGCUCUGAAAGUCCAGGGCUCAACCCUGGGAUGCGGGUGGAUACUGCCGGGCUCGAGUCCGGAAGAGGCGAGUGGAAUUCCCGGUGUAGCGGUGAAAUGCGCAGAUAUCGGGAGGAACACCAAUGGCGAAGGCAGCUCGCUGGGACGUGACUGACGCUGAGGAGCGAAAGCCAGGGGAGCAAACGGG